rnacentral:rRNA from 1 species
AGAGUUUGAUCAUGGCUCAGAUUGAACGCUGGCGGCAGGCCUAACACAUGCAAGUCGAGCGGCAGCACAGAGGAACUUGUUCCUUGGGUGGCGAGCGGCGGACGGGUGAGUAAUGCCUGGGAAAUUGCCCG